GGUCUUUUGGCUAAGAUCAAGUGUAGUA
rnacentral:snRNA from 1 species